ACGUGCUGUUCCAGAUCACGUUUAUAGCAAGCAGAACAUCAGACUGAAGGAAAUAAAGCAUCAAGUUUGAGCUCUGAUGUUUCAUUGAUUCAGCCCAGUUCACAGAAGCCCAAUAAGUCUGAGUUUGUUCACACAGCUGGUUGGGGAACACCUGAAAUCAAAGGAAUGUGGGGAACUGCCCAGGCUCCACUGCAGUCUGCAGGGCACAUUUGUGUUCAGAAGAGGCACUGCAACCAUGAGCAAUGUUGAACUCUCUUGACAGCCUGUCUCUUGAAGUUUUAGGUUUCAACAUCCAUGAAUUCUUCUUCCUUAUUGCAUGGUCUAUACUAAAAGUUGUGAUAGCUGGUAAAAUAAACAGUGACUCAAAAUACCUUCGGCAUGACUUGCAGUCUACACAGGCAUCAAGACUGAGCCUAGAGAAGACAUAACACCUUGGAAGUGUAGUGACAGCAGAAAUUUCAACAGUCGUCUCUGAAUGAGCUUGGUGGUAAGGGAGGCCUAAAAAGUUACAAAAACAUAUAGCUGAAACUGUCGGUUAGCAUUCACACCUUUGGCACAAAAAAAAUCAUGGAAGGAAACUGUGGUGAGGAAGGAACACAGCAAUUCCUUACACCUCGGUGCUUUCUACGAGAGGUGUUCCACAUCCUUGCUGCCAAGUGUAACAUUACUGUGCUCAGUUUGAGCUUGUCCAUGAGCCAGAGAAGAAUCAGAGGGCAGUGUUGGUGCCCUUAAUGACCUCUACAGAUCAGCUGUGCUGCCUGCGUAUGGGAGACAGAGGGGACAGCCCUCAGUUCCAGGACUGGUGUUCCCUUUGUCAUACAGGUGAGCUUUCAGAGUAGACCUGCAGUCUCUGCUCAUUGGUCUGGUGCAGAAUAUUUUUCUCUAGGAAGUGAAGAAGAAAUCAAAAACUCAGCUGUGACUUUUUUUCUGACUGCAGGUAACCAAACUGUGUUACCAUUACUAGGGCUUUAAUUGGUAAAUCUUCAUUCAACUUCUCCCACAAAUACUGGAGCACAAUCUUAGCAAUAUCCUUUAUGAGUCUGUUUCUCUGCACAGGCUUAAACCUGCCUGGUUCAAUGUGCUCAGUUUGUAAACAGUAGAAAGUACAAUAGAUCAUUUGUAAGGGCACUAGCACAUUAACAGAGGCUGGAGUUUCUGUGCUUCUGAGCAAACAGCCUGCCUGUGUGUUCUCAAGUGCAUGCAAUCAUACUCUUGUCAGAGUAGAACUUCAGGCUCAGAGCAUGAACUUUUUGGUCCUGGAGUUGUAUCUGACAGUGAAACCCUAAAAUACUCCCAACCUAGUUCUGACUCACUUGGUAGAUCCUGUUGAAAUGCAACAAUACUUCUACUACAGUCAUUCUUUAUUUUAUUUUAUUUUAUUGUUUUCAAAGCAUAGUGCCACAUCUGUAAGAGACGGCUGUCAAGGAUGUGGCAAAACCAUCCCUUGGAUCCCUAUGUCAAGAAAACAUACAUCACUGCUGGUGCUUCCCAGCUCUAAGUUCUAAACAACUUCAAUUUAUAAUCAGAUAGUGAGGCAACAACAGUAAUAACAAAGCAGGGUGUAUGGGGGAGAAAUCAAGCAGUUGCACCCUGCUUUUGCUUUAAGUGUUUGCAUCUUAUCAGUUGAGGAAAACGGCCUCCAUGCUGUAAAGUUACAAGAGUUCAUUGUGACAUCUGUUUCUUCUUUUGUCAGAUAGGAUGAUAAAACUUACAUUAUUAAUUUCCUGUGUUGUUUUCUGUUAAAAAGCGUCAGUGUUUAUAUUUUUAUAUUUCCACAUGGACCUAGUUCUGUAUGGUCAUUUAAAAAUUCUAUUUCAUUGUUUAUAUACAUAUAUAGAGAAAUAUAUAUACACACAUAUAACAGAUUUGUUCCAGUUUUGAAUUUCUCUUUUGAAUGGGUGUGAUAUGAAAAGUAGCAGUGAAAGUAGAAUUGUAGUUCUCAAAUUGAUUAUUUCUCUAUCGAUCUAGAAAUUACUUUCUCUGUUUCUGUGAAAAAUAUUUUUUCAGUCCUCCACUGACACCUUUCAAAUGCACUCACUGUAUUUCUAUGUAGUUUACGUGCCAACUUCAGUCAUUGAUCUGAUUUUAGCAAAGCUGUUUUGUUAAUGAUCCUUCUGUCUUUAUCCCAAAGCAAGUAAAUAGGUGCAGAGCUAAAGGCUUAAAUUCACAGUAAUUACAUCUCUUUGACUUCUUUAAAUAAACACACAGGAGUCGAGGUCAGAAUAUGAAUCUUCUGUUUUUGUUAAUUAGUGUUACUACAUUGUUCCAAGUGUUACCUGUCUUGCUAGUGUGAGUAAAGAGUCCCUGUUCGAGACACCCCAUGGAAUGUGAAAAUGCUGAUUUUCACAUAGUCCUCUUAAUGAAGUUAAGCGACUGCUGUUUGCAGCAAUGCAUUUUGGUGCUGAGGAUGUAAAUUAGAGUCUUUUCCAGAAUGCCAAUUCAAAUCCAAACAGUAAUCUUCAAUGCCCCCAAAGCAAAAUUUAACCUCAGUCUACUAAACGUUUGAUUUUUAUCUAAAUGAUAAAACAGUCUGUCUUGCUUGCCUUGGGCAAAAGAGACUAGGAUUGAAACCUGUGGCAUUUUAUGCUUUGAUUCAUGUAACUGAGUCCCUUGGCAGCUAACCCUGCAUCUCAUUUCUCUUAUGACAUUAUGGCUUUCUCCCCUUCCACAAGCCCAGGCAGUGUGGCAGCCUGAUCUGUCAGCUGCCGAUGCAGUCAUGACAUAUAA